rnacentral:rRNA from 1 species
UAGAGAUGGCGACCGGCGCACGGGUGAGUAACACGUAUCCAACCUGCCGAUAACUCGGGGAUAGCCUUUCGAAAGAAAGAUUAAUACCCGAUGGUAUAAUAAAGCCGCAUGGUUUAAUUAUUAAAGAAUUUCGGUUAUCGAUGGGGAUGCGUCCCAUUAGGCAGUUGGUGAGGUAACGGCUCACCAAACCUUCGAUGGAUAGGGGUUCUGAGAGGAAGGUCCCCCACAUUGGAACUGAGACACGGUCCAA